CCCAUCACUCCCCCAGACUCCCAGCCCCAUCACUCCCCCAGACUCCCAGCCCCAUCACUCGCACAUGUAUGCUUUUCUUCAUACCUGUAUCUCUUACUUCCUCAGAAACGCUCAGAACACAUACCCACACCCUCCUCACAAUGCCUGACUUACCUUCAGACAGCAAUGUUUCGGGGUCUACUCCAUUGCCCAUCUUCCAAAGAAACCCGGCUGCUGACCUUAGAAAGAUGCGGCGGGUCAUCACUGAGGACUUCAGCUGGACGUUGGCCUUGGUACCCCCACUCAGCGAGCUCUGUCUACAGCAGAUUGUCAGUAACUUUGAGAGUAAGUAG